UGUUGCUGCGAGUUUCGGUCUCAACGGAAGAGAAAACGAGCGAUCUUAGCCGUCGGAUGGACGUAUGGAUGGAUGGGCACCGUUGACACGAAUCUUAACGGUCUCUGUCUUCCUCCUCUCACCCACUAUAAAAUGUCCCGCUCUUCUCCUUCGUUCGCUCGCUUCGGCUUUGUGUUCUUCUAUUCUGAUGUUCGCUUACUUAUCUGCGAGUGAUGGCCGUUGAUCUGGUGGGGUACACAAAGAUGGACGACCGGAUCGCCAUCCAGGAGGCGACCGCCGCGGGGCUUCGCUCAAUGGAGCACCUCAUCCGUCACCUCUCAAACCCCCACCGCCACCAGCAGCAGCAGCUGGACUGCCGCGAGAUGGCCGAUUUCGCUAUUUCCAAGUUCAAGAAGGUCAUCGCCAUCCUCGACGGCACCGGCCACGCCCGGUUCCGCCGCGGCCCAGUGGCGCCGCUUCCUCUGGCCGAGCCGUCGUUGCCAGCCGCCGCGAAGAGUCUUACCCUCGCGCCGAUACCGCUGCGCGUCAUCCACCCUCACCACCCGCUCCCGCCGCCUCCCAAGACGACGCUGACCCUCGACUUCACCAGGCCAGUCUCCACCGCUGCGGCUGGCGAGCUGCCCCCGCCCACUCGAUAUGGCAAGGAGUACUUCAGCAUCUCAAUGCCGAUGACGUCCGCGACGUCCUCGUUCGUGUCGUCCGUCACCCGAGACUGCAGCGUGUCGAACGGCAAUCUCGCGCUGUCCUCCCUCCUCCUCCCGCUGCCCGCCGCCGCCUCCGCCAGCAGGCCGCCCCUCUCGUCCGCGCCUAAGCGGCGGUGGCAUGAGCACUCUCAUGCCCACUCGGAUCACGUCGCCGGCAAGAACGCCGUCCCGGGUACUCGCUGCCACUGCUCCAAGAGAAGGAAGCCGCGGGUUAAGCGGACGAUACGGGUGCCGGCGGUGGGCUUGAAGGCGGCCGACAUCCCGGCCGACGAGUAUUCGUGGCGAAAGUACGGGCAGAAGCCCAUCAAGGGAUCACCUUACCCCAGGGGUUACUACAAGUGCAGCACCCUGCGGGGUUGCCCGGCAAGGAAGCACGUGGAGCGGGCGCCGGACGACCCCUCGAUGCUGAUCGUGACCUACGAGGGAGAGCACCGCCACAGUGCCGCCGCCAUCUAAGAAUACAGUGCUUUAUGGGUGGAUAUCAUGACUUUGUUAGGGUAUUGACAACUGUGUUAUUGACUAAGGUUGAGAUUAUUGCGGAAGAAAGCUGAAAUAGUAUAAUUACAAGAUAGAGUCAGGCAUCUCCUUAUGAACCCAAGAUGGUCUUUGGCUUCUGCUGGGUGGCCCUGUCAUUGCAUGCACUUGGGAGGAAGCAAAACAGUCUUCCAUGCACUUGCAGCAGAGCGACAAAGCUACUCGUGUUUCCACAAGUUCUCCAUGGAUUAUGAUUGCAGAUGCAUGGAAAAGUAUUCCACCUGUGUUUUUUAUGCAAGAGCUGAUCAAAUGCAUAUGGGAGAAACAAUUCUGCACUGUGGCAUCACCAGGGUAUGACCCACUCUGGAACGAGAGGUCGAAUGGUUUCAACCUCAUAGGCAGGGAAGGUUUACAAAGAAACAAGAGAUCAAAUGGUUUCAACUUCACAGGCAGGGAAUGGAUUCAAAUGAACUGUUCUGGUUGCUGCUGCAAUUUAUUUUUGUUGGAUGGAGCUCAAUAACAGACGUCUAAGAGGUCUCAUUUCUUCUUUCUAACGUUAGCGUCACUUUCAAUGAGAUAUUGCAUGUCUAUGUCAAUUUGCUUCUAUUUAAUUAAUGCUAUUCUGGCUGCAGUUCCUUCUUGUGUUUUGCACUUGUCUCAUCUCACCUACUAAAAGAAAAGGUAUCUUUGCAGUCUUCCCAGUCAAUGAAAACAUGUUUAUCUUGUUGAGACCUUCCAAUUAGUGUCUUGUCCCCUGGAAGAUUCAUACAAUGCUGGGCCCAUAUGACAUCAAAACCUUGCCAACCUAGUGCCAGAAAACACAGGAAAUCAUGGACAGCCCCUUUAAGAAGUUUGAUGACAAUGGAUAAGUAGGCGUAGGUCUUGACAAGUUUCACAACUUGCCCACUGUUUUUCCAUGGUUGCCUGUCCUUUUCUGCCACCCAAUUAAUUUGGUCAUCCCUAUUGGAUUUGACCUUAGGUUUCCAAGAGCUGUGUUGCAAUUUUUCAUUUUUUUCUAAUGCUUAAGAAGUAUUAACAUGAAUCCAGCAAAUAAACUGGUGGAUUCAGAUUAAAAAUUGACAGCUCUAAUUAAGUAGAAUCAUGGAUUUUCUUUUUUAAUACAGUAGUGUUCAUCAAAUAAGGAAUUUUGAAUCUUAUAUCUUGAUAUAUGUGGCACUUAUUUUAUUGUAACAUUUAUCAGUAAUGCUUCUAUUUAGUGUUGGGAUGGGUGGAAACCACCUACAGUAUCUUCCUGUUGCAAUAUAUGCCAGGUGCAUGUCUUUUUCUUGAACCUUAAAAGUCAAAAUAGGGAGAGGUUAUUGGGCAAAGCAAACAAGAAUCUUUCUCAGUCUUAGAAACUUUAUUUGCUUAUAACAAAACUAGUAAAAUCCAAAACCAAAAUCACAUGGUCAAUAUUCACAAAAAAAGUAUUCAUAAAUUUUGGAUGAUUUGUAAUAAUUCUGUGAAAAAGAAUAGAAUUACAAGUCAUGGAAAGCAUUAGACUACUUAUUAACUAUUUUACAUAAUUAUAAAAUAUAGGAAUCAGAUUUUUUGAGUAUUUGCCUUAUAUAUGAUUUUCUUUCUUAGGUUUCUCCACCAAAAACAUAUGUAAAAUUAUGAAUGCAUCCAUAAAAAAGAUGAGCUUUGCUAGCAAAAUUUCAAUCAACUAAAACUUCCACAAUUACAAUUCAACUAAAAUAAAUUAAAAGAAAAAAGAUGAAAAAAUUGUUGGAUCAACUUACGAAUAAUUUUGAUCAUAAAAUCUUAUAUGUGACAUCCAUCUUUAGAAUUUUUUGGAUUUUUAAUCAUAAAGGUUAAUAUCUAUUGUUUGAUAGUCAAUUUUACUUUUCAAGUUUACAAUUUUUUUUCCAAGAGAAGUUUACGAUCAUGCAGAUGACAAUCAACAUUGUAAAUCAUUGAUGUGAUAGGUUAAUAUAUUUAUAAGAAACCUUAUCAAUAGCUUGGGCUAUAGAGUUCAUGAAUGAUUUGUGAUGGGACACCAUGCAAGUUCAUUGUCCAGAUUCAUUUUAUUUCCACUCCAUCCAUGCUGAACAUUGAAUUCUGUUCCGAAAAACAAUAUGAUUUUGGUGUUUAUAUUUGUUUAAUUCAAAGAGCAAAAAUGAGGAAUUAGUGUAUUACCCAGAGGACUCCUUAUAUGCACCUUAUAUACAACACACCUACAAAAUGAUCGGGCAUUUGGAUGAUGUCUCUUAAAUGUCAUUAAGUGAGCCCAUUAAUGCUUCAGUUGGACCGUUGUGCUAUCAUAACUGUGCUAUGAUUGAAUGGUAGAACUAUUUUAUAAGAAUCCCCAUUGAUAAUAAUUUUAAUAUGCAAUAUACUUCUAUAAUAUAAUUAAAAUACAAUCACAAGGGUUAUCUUACCAUCUUCUUAUUCUUCAUUUUACCUCCAAAACUUUUUUUUCGAAACAAUAUUAUAUCAUUCAAGAGUGUGGGCUUUAGUAUAAUGCUAGGGUCGUUCAUUUGGGAGAUCAUAAUCUGAGUUACGGAAACAGUCUCUAUAUUUAGAAGGUUGCAUACAUUAACCAUUUCCUAGACCUUAAAUUAACGGGAGCUACAUGCACUAAGUAUGAGACAUAGGAUUAAAUGAGCUAUCAACAUUAGUCAUUGCAAUUGUUUUGCAUAAUAUAGAGAAAAUUUGAUUUGGUGGUCGGGAUAUUGAUAAUUAUUUUUGUUGAGCCAUAAAACCCAAAGUAAAUUUUUAAGAAGUCUCUAAUUGUCAAAGCUAGACUCUCUCACUCCAAUUGUCAAAGAACAUAAAUUAAGGAAGAUUAAGGUUCAAAUUUGUUCUAAAACGUUCCCAGAGUAUGUGAGCAUAGACACACUCAAAGAAGAUAUAAUUUGGAGAAUCAGAUUAGAGUUUUAAUGGUAAUUAUAUCUUGGAUUCCUAAGCCUCCCAAAUAGUUACAUAUCCUAACUAAUAAUAUCAUAUUUCUUUUUUUAAAAUCAUUUUCAUUCCAAUAGAACUCCCUUGGCAACCAACCAUCUUCCUAAUAAUUUUGUAAGACACCCAAUUAUUUAAAAGAAUAUAAGUAGGAAAGGAAUUAAGAACAAAAUCGAUCCUGACAACUUUACCAAGCUAUCGUAGACAAAUCUUUUUCAGCCAUCACACUUUAAUAUCUCUCAGGUAAUCUACCAAAGGAAAAUACAAAUUUGGUGUUUGAUCAACCGGUCACAAUUUGGUGGUUAAUCAUACCUGGGAUCUACUGGGUAUGUUUCCACUUGUCGGAUCGACAUGGCAAGAAUUCUCAGCUCAUGAUUGGGCAAGUCUUCUUGGAAAAUGCUUUGGGUGGAAUCAAAUUUGCUAAACAUCAUGUGUACAAUGUUAAAUUUUGCAUGUACUUGUACCAAACAUGAUACAGUGUGACCCUUGGUGUCAUUAGGCUUGUAUAGAGGCUUUAAAUGAUUAAAAUAGCCAGUAUUUGUUCAGUUGAUAUCUUUGUUACAUCGGUCAGUCUCCGAUGGGUUUAUAUGUGGAUGACAGUAUCUAAACAGAGUUAGCCUAGACAGGAGUUGUUUUCACUUUUUGUUGUGCUUGUUUUCUUUUUCUUCUUUUCCUGUAUGGUGGACAGAGUCCAUCUUUCAUCAAAUGCCAUGAUCAAGUUUUCCUUCUACCUGAUGGCUAGAUGAAAGCCCACUUUGCUAUGAAGGAUUGUUGAUGGCGUCAUGAGUACUUGGAAGUAUUGUUGAUUAGUGAAACUGUUGUGUACGGAAGAGUACAAUAUCAAGAAGUUCCAAAUCUAUCAGGUCGAGUAUAGACUAUAUUCUUGUGACUUGCUCUAUAUUAUUUCUCUUUUGCACAGAAUAAAUUGCAAAGACAGAUUUGAUCCCAAUACCUUAUUAUCAACAUCAAGGGCUUUACCAACUAACUAGGAGAGUCGAUCCGACUUAUGACUUAUGAGAGCCACGUGUUGUACUUUUGAAUCUUGGAACAAAUUGAAGAUAAUGAGUCCCACUUAUGGGAGCUCUUUUGGGGAAGUAUAUAGCAAGCAAACCUUUGAGGUCCAAUGCUUAAGAACAAACUUCCUUCUUCCUCCCCUUUGAGGAGUCUUCUUGAUGCCUUGCUUCUUCCUCCCCUCUAAGAAGGAUCUUAUCAAUUUGGAUGGAUCGAAGAGUUCAGCUCAUCUCCUUCUCGCUUAGUUGCUUGUGAUGGAUCUUAUCAAUUUCAAAGAUCAUUAUGAAGUUGAAUAUUUUCUUUCAAGUAUUUGCUAUCCAUAAGGUUGCUCCUUUGCAACAUUAGAGGAUGGGUACUGGUACAACAGUAAGCUGCUUCUUUGCACCUUGAGAGAUUAGGGUUUAAAUCACGGAAAUAACCUUUUCAUAUUUAGAGAUAAGACUGUGUAUAUUGAUUCUUUCCUGAUCCUGCAUUAAUGGAAGCCUUAUGCACUGGGUACAUACACCCUCUAUGCUCAUUUGCUAUCCAUAACAACCAUAAAUAUAUCCCAUUCAAGUAACAAGUUUGAGAAUAAAUAUAACUAGAAUAAUGCUAAGACUCCUCAAAGCACCCACAACUAUGUUUGUCUUUUGUAUAUAAUAUAUAUCCUCCUGCUCACUAAAUAGGAAUUACAACUCCUGAUUUCUCCAAGUUUAUUUCAGCAAAAUCUUUCCCAAACUCCCAAACCAUUGAGAUAUACUACCAAGUUGAGCUUGGGUAAUAGGAUUCUUAUAUCAAGAAACAAUGCAAAUGCAUAUACAGUGUAACAGUGGAGACAAGAUUUAUACGGUUUGAUUACUUUUGCCUAAAUCUAUGCAGAAAUACUCAAAUAUUUUAUUGCCAGAAUGAUAAAAUACAAAAAGGAAGAAAAUUCCAUUUUGAGUUAACUCAAAUCAAGCUCUAAUGUUCCUUGGACACCAUAUGAUAAAAAAUUAUGACCACUUAAUCUAUUAGAAAAAUACCUUAAGAGUUUAUAGAAUGUGUAUCUUUAACUUCACAUCCAUACUAAAAUUUUAGGAUGCUCAGAGUACUUAUAGACCAAUCAACCAUUGAAUUUUAAAGUAUUCUUUUGAAGUCUUUCCAAACUUAAAUUCUUUUCCUCCAAGUAACUUAUCCUCCAAAAAAUAUAAUUUUGACUAAGGAUUAAAAAAAUAUUGACCAAUUAUAAUAGUAAGUAUUUUCCUGUCUUGAGUUCCAUUUAUCAUGAGUAGCUAAAAUGAUUUUGAAAUCUUUGACAAGCUUAUUACAAUAACUUUUAGCCACAAAACUCUUCCAUGACGGAUAUCACAGAGUUUGAAGCUAUGCUACUCCCAGCUCUUCCUGCUCAAGCUAUAUCAGGUGUUGCUAUGAAGAACAAUGAAGAGCUCUCUCUACUUAGCUAUGCAGUCAAUUAUCGUUUGAUAUUUUUGGGAAAUAAUUUUCAGCAUUAUGCAUUAUGCAAAACAAUUUGUUAAGUUCUUUAUCAUUUUGCAGUACUUUCCAUUUCUCAUCCCAAUAAACUGUUGAAAAGUAAUUUAUAAUUGCUACUGGUGUUAGUGGCCUUAAUUCUUCUUUUUGACAUUUGACUAGCGACCAUGUUUUAUACUCAUUGUUCCUUGUUUGUUAAGUCAAGUAGUGUCCAAAGAUCUCACUGUAGUUAAAGUGGUGAUACAUGUUCUAGUUUAUUUUGAAGCACUAAUUGUGUAGUGUCUAAAAUUAAUCUUUCCACUAAUGGAGUGGAAACACAAUUAGUUGUAAAGCGAGGUAGUUGAGUUGUAAAGCCUAUCGAUAUAUACCUUGGGUCAUGAAUCAUGUAUUGGGGUUUGACAAACUUAGGUCAAUCGAUGUAGGUUCUUGAAGAGUUCAUCGGUCUUGUUGAGUAAUGUAAUGGAUGUGAAAACACAAUUUUCUUUCGAAGAAUAGUAGACUCUUGAGAUGGUCACUAUCUUUGAUCAAUCAAGAUUUGACAAUCGAAACCUUAAAUGGUGGAAUAGUCUCUUUCUUUAUCUCAGUAUAGAGUAGCUAGGAAUGGUGUUUAAGGGUCACUUUCAAGGAUUGCUUUUUUGGAGUCCCAUGUAGGUUUAGUUGUUGUCAUUCGAUUAUCAAUGCUAGUGCUAAGGGCUGUUAGUGAGUGUCGUUAGACACAAGGUGUUGUUAGGGAGAGUUGUCUCCUUGGUGUAAUAUAAGAUGAAAGGUCAAAGGUAAUCUUUGUAAAUUCAAUUCUAAUUGUUUUUCAAUAGAGGCACUCACUUAAGUCGAAUUUGAUCAUUCAAAUCUUCCUUGACAAAAGCACCUGAAAUAAUAUCGCAAGCAUAUAUCGAGUAUAAAGACAAGACCUCCAACCAAGAAUGAAAUUCUUAGUUGUUCAAAGACAUUAAUUGUGUGAAGCGAAUAAGACAAAUUGGCAUCUGAAAGGUUUUUAGCCUUACAUAUUUGAGAAUCCUCAUGGUCCUCUCUUAAACUCCAGAACAAAGCUUAAAAAAAAUAGAGAAAGAAUCAACCACACUCUAUACCCCAAAUACCAAUGAGAAUAUGACUAUCAAAGUUUUGUCAUCUUGGAUAUGACAACUAUUAAAUGCAACAUCUCAUAUUAACAAAAUAUCUAAAAAGAAUAUUUCGUCAUUUAAGCAUUUAAUCUUCUGUAACCUAUUGUGGUUACAAAAUAAGUGUAAUAUGGAGGCUUCUUCAACUAUGCUCUAUGGACUUUUUCCUUUCAGAAUAAAUAGGACAUUAUUGAAUACAAACAGGGAUAGAGUUUUUCAAUAAACCAUCUAUAGGAGGAUCAUGAAAGUUAGACCUUAAUGACUCAAGAAAGAUUUAUCUCUUGACCAAGUGAUCCAAUAGGCUCGGAUAGAAUUAUUUUGCUUCAACUCCCAGAUUACACUUUCUGUUGGAUCACACCUUGUCUCAGGAUAGAGGACUUCAUCAUUCAUAGACAUGAAUUUUAAGAAUAGCCUAUUUCUUCUGGCUGUUUGCAGCUUGACAUUAGAUCUUUUACUGCUUGUUAAAUUAGAAAAUGAUCAGCUCUUGUAAUCUUUGUUUGCCUGACAGAAACAAGAUGUGCUGAUUUAUGUUAUAAACAGGAGUUCCCAUGGUUCUUACUUGGCAUCCUGCAAACCCAUAUGCUUUCAAGAUUGAGUUACUACUGGUGAUGGAUGCAAGAGUCUUCUAAAGAUUGAAGUCAUAAACAUGAAGCUUUGCACUUCCAAAUUCUUCACCUUGGACCAUCUGCUAAUUGACUUUUUGAUACUAACUCUUUCUGCUGUUGGUGCAGGUACUGCUGCUACAUCUCUCUUAAUAAAUGCAUUAGCUUUUUGGUGUUUGACUCUACAAAAGGUCAAAUCAAUUUCUUGGUAGAGGCCACCUCUGCCACUUAUGAAGACAUCCCAACCACUUUUAUGGCACAAAACAAUCAUUCAGCACAAGCGAUAGGGAGAGUCUGUUGAGGUCAUUAAGUGCGAACCAGUAAGCUGUAAAUAAAUACUGCAUGUUAACAGUGUGCUGAUGAAUGAGGUAAUGCAGGCUAAAGGUAGCAUCGGUUACUG